rnacentral:rRNA from 1 species
CCUACGGGUGGCAGCAGUGGGGAAUAUUGGACAAUGGGCGAAAGCCUGAUCCAGCCAUGCCGCGUGUGUGAAGAAGGCCUUCGGGUUGUAAAGCACUUUCAGUGGGGAAGAAAGCCUUGGGGCUAAUACCCUCGAGGAAGGACAUCACCCACAGAAGAAGCACCGGCUAACUCCGUGCCAGCAGCCGCGGUAAUACGGAGGGUGCGAGCGUUAAUCGGAAUUACUGGGCGUAAAGCGCGCGUAGGCGGUCUGAUAAGCCGGUUGUGAAAGCCCCGGGCUCAACCUGGGAACGGCAUCCGGAACUGUCAGGCUAGAGUGCAGGAGAGGAAGGUAGAAUUCCCGGGGUAGCGGUGAAAUGCGUAGAGAUCGGGAGGAAUACCAGUGGCGAAGGCGGCCUUCUGGACUGACACUGACGCUGAGGUGCGAAAGCGUGGGUAGCAAACAGGAUUAGAUACCCCGGUAGUC